GAUGAGCGCUAGCUACAGGCUUAACACAUGCAAGUCGAGGGGCAGCAUUGGAGUAGCAAUACUUCAGAUGGCGACCGGCGCACGGGUGAGUAACACGUAUCCAACCUGCCGCUUACUCGGGGAUAGCCUUUCGAAAGAAAGAUUAAUACCCGAUGGUAUAAAGAGUUCGCAAGUUCUCUUUAUUAAAGAAUUUUGGUAAGCGAUGGGGAUGCGCUCCAUUAGAUAGUUGGCGGGGUAACGGCCCACCAAGUCUACGAUGGAUAGGGGUUCUGAGAGGAAGGUCCCCCACAUUGGAACUGAGACACGGUCCAAACUCCUACGGGAGGCAGCAGUGAGGAAUAUUGGUCAAUGGACGAGAGUCUGAACCAGCCAAGUAGCGUGAAGGAUGACUGCCCUAUGGGUUGUAAACUUCUUUUAUAAGGGAAUAAAGUGAGGGACGUGUCCCUUUUUGUAUGUACCCUGAGAAUAAGGAUCGGCUAACUCCGUGCCAGCAGCCGCGGUAAUAC
rnacentral:rRNA from 1 species